GAUGAACGCUGGCUACAGGCUUAACACAUGCAAGUCGAGGGGAAACGCCGGGGAAGCUUGCUUCCCCGGGCGUCGACCGGCGCACGGGUGAGUAACGCGUAUCCAACCUGCCUCUGACUGAGGGAUAACCCGUCGAAAGUCGGCCUAAUACCUCAUGGUAUCGUCUGCGGGCAUCCAACGACGAUUAAAGAUUUCAUCGGUCAGGGAUGGGGAUGCGUCUGAUUAGCUUGUUGGCGGGGUAACGGCCCACCAAGGCUACGAUCAGUAGGGGUUCUGAGAGGAAGGUCCCCCACAUUGGAACUGAGACACGGUCCAAACUCCUACGGGAGGCAGCAGUGAGGAAUAUUGGUCAAUGGGCGAGAGCCUGAACCAGCCAAGUAGCGUGCAGGAAGACGGCCCUAGGGGUUGUAAACUGCUUUUAUGCGGGGAUAAAGUGAGGGACGUGUCCCUAAUUGCAGGUACCGCAUGAAUAAGGACCGGCUAAUUCCGUG
rnacentral:rRNA from 1 species